rnacentral:misc_RNA from 1 species
GGGCUUGAACUCUUUGGUCUGAGAUCACUAGAAGACACAGAACCAGGAUUUCUAAGUUCUAGCAGUCGAAGGAAAUGCAGCUGUAGAUAUGGUACAAAGACUGGCAAAUCCAGGAGAACCAUUCGCUAGAAUAUUUUGUGGUCUAACACAAGGCUUCAAGUGGAUCAGAUUGUGUGGGUUUUCUUUGGCCUCAUCAGCGCUGAUUCCUCUGGGUCUAAAUCUAUCAUCUGAGAGUCUGAGCAAAAACCAGUAAUGCAGAGACAUACUU